rnacentral:lncRNA from 1 species
UGCAUGUUCUGACAGUAUGAUGUGGGACUGAAAGCAUGUUUUAAUUUUCACACAGCUGAAGCCUUCAGGAGAAGCUUCAGAAGGUACAAAGGCACCUUUAGAUGAGAGGAUGUGCAUGCUGAGGUUUUCCUGUCUAUCAGGAAGCAGGAGGCAUUGCAGAAGAUGUAGCCGAGAGAUCCAUUGCAAGCAGGUAGCAGGUCUUUAAACAGAAAAGGUCAUAUUUUGAGAAGUGAAAUGAGAACCCAGCCCUCUUUGCAAAAAAUGUGGAUUACUGGCUUUGUGUUUAAACCAGUUAUUCUAAGAACGUGAACAGUCUUGAGAUCACUUGCUUAUCUUCCAACCCAAAACUGUACGAAAGGAACCUCCUCUCGGGGAAUUGCAGAAAACAGCAAUCAGUCUGCUACUAUGACCCAUCAAACAUCCAAAGAGCACCGUCCAAUUUGGUCCCAUUUCAUUGUCAUUACUGGUGACUCUGGGCUACACCCAAGAAAGGUGAGUCAGAACUCCACAAUAAGUAUUGUAGAUCUAACGCCGAAGAGGCUUUGCCCUUACAAGUACAUUAUAUAAUACUAAAUAUAUAAAGGCAGGUGCUGAGUUAAAAAGAAAUCAGUGACUUUAACAAGUCG